AGUAUUUUCCGGGGCAGUCACGUUUUUGAGCCUAAGAAUCGCACAAAGUGACAUGGCCUGGGAAUUGGGAACCGCUUGUGUGAAAAUUUACAAACGUGAAGAAAAAUGAAUUCCUUUGAGUCAUUUUUUACCAGGGCUCCCCUCUCCCAUUCUCUCUUAUUACUGCACAUGUGGAGACUUCAUUGAGGAAAAGGACAGCAAAACAAAUUUGCUGGCAUGUUUUGAGGAAAACGAAGAGGAGUUCUACCAGUGGAGUGGAGAAGGCGAGAAGAAAACAAGCCAUUUUUUUAUCAAAACUACCAAAGGCUUCGACCUUUUUCACUGUGAAAACCAAUGCGGGUAAUCGACAACAGCAAGAACCAGACGCUCUUAUCAGUAGCAGCAAGUAGCGCUGCUGUCCAUGUCAGCUGAGGAGGAUGCAGUCGAGGCAAAGUGGAAAGUGACACGAACGACACUUUUCAUCACAAAGAUCUGAGGAUUGAAGCGGUCAAAAAUGGCAUGUUCCUCCAAGCAUGAGGUGUGCGGUGAAAGCAGAAUGGCUACACGAGAGCGCGUGACUCAUGUCGAGAAACUGCUCUCGUCCUUCAACAAACCCGCCGAUAAUGCAGACCAGUCCCGUCUCCAGCGUCGAGUUGUUGUGGAGAACAUUUUCCCCACGUCACUACUGAAAGACGUUUCCAGUUUAACCCCGUCCUCGAAGCGAUGGAUAGUUGAACACAAAUGGUGCAGCGACGCAUGUAGACAGACAACAUAACAGUACUCCCAGUCAUAUCCUGUACUCUUUAUCCUCUGCGAAGAAUGACCAGAUCAAUGCCGUUUGAUGUCCGGGCAGGACAGACUGGCUGCUGCAUCCAGGCAAGAAAGUAAAUGUGAAGUAUGAAUUGGCCCCAGGUGGCCAAGGUGUGUACAACAGAAUGAGAAAGUGGGACAAAAACGGUUAAAUUCUUUUUAAUUCUAUUCAAUUACCUCAGUACUGUUGUUACAAAGUAUAAUGUUAUAGAAAGCAAUUUUUUCCUCAUAAAAAAAAUAUAUGACCAAAUUUGUUUAUUUUUUGGGGGGAGGCUGGAACGGGUUAAUGGUAUUUCCUUUCAUUUCAGUAAUUUUCAUUCAU